rnacentral:rRNA from 1 species
UGGGGAAUUUUGGACAAUGGGCGCAAGCCUGAUCCAGCCAUGCCGCGUGUCUGAAGAAGGCCUUCGGGUUGUAAAGGACUUUUGUCAGGGAGGAAAUCCCUAAGGUUAAUACCCUUGGGGGAUGACAGUACCUGAAGAAUAAGCACCGGCUAACUACGUGCCAGCAGCCGCGGUAAUACGUAGGGUGCAAGCGUUAAUCGGACUUACUGGGCGUAAAGCGUGCGCAGGCGGUUGUGUAAGUCUGAUGUGAAAGCCCCGGGCUCAACCUGGGAACUGCAUUGGAGACGGCACGGCUAGAGGGCGUCAGAGGGGGGUAGAAUUCCGCGUGUAGCAGUGAAAUGCGUAGAGAUGCGGAGGAAUACCGAUGGCGAAGGCAGCCCCCUGGGAUGACACUGACGCUCAUGCACGAAAGCGUGGGGAGCAAACA